rnacentral:lncRNA from 1 species
AUGCAGGUGCGGCCGGAGCCGAGCCGCCAGGAACCGAUGCAGGUGCGGCCGGAGCCGAGCCGCCAGGAACCGAUGCCGGUGCGGCCGGAGCCGAGCCGCCAGGGACCGAUGCCGGUGCAGCGGGAGCUGCGACGGGAACGACCCCCUCCUGGAGGUCGACAGGGACUGCGACGGGCGCGACCCCCUCCUGGAGGUCCGCCGGGACUGCGACGGGCGCGACCCCCUCCUGGAGGUCCGCCGGGACUGCGACGGGCGCGACCCCCUCCUGGAGGUCCGCCGGGACUGCGACGGGCGCGACCCCCUCCUGGAGGUCCGCCGGGACUGCGACGGGCGCGACCCCCUCCUGGAGGUCCGCCGGGACUGCCGCUGGCGCGACCUCCUCCUGGAGGUGCGCGGGAACUGCAGCUGGCGCGACCUCCUCCUGGAGGGACAGGGGCUGGAACGGCCGCCACAUGGCCGACAGGAACGGCAUCUACUUGGCCGACAGGGACAGGAACUAGAACGGCCGCAACAUGGCCGACAGGAACGGCAUCUACUUGGCCGACAGGGACAGGAACCGGGACUAGAACGGCCGCAACAUGGCCGACAGGAACGGCCGCAACAUGGCCGGCAGGGACAGGAACGGCGUCUACUUGGCCGACAGGGACAGGAACAGGAACUAGAACGGCCUCAACAUGGCCGACAGGAACGGCCGCGACAUGGCCGACAGGAACUGGAACGGCAUCUACUCUGGAGCUGGCAUGGCUACUUGCCGCUGCCAAGCUCGACGGAGCAGACGUCGGGCCUGAUCGGGUGUGCAUAGCACCUGUGCGACAGGUGGUGCCCCCUGGUUGGGACACGACCUGCGCGUGACUGAACUGAACUGGGACAGGAACGUGACUGGACUGAACUGGAACCGGGACAGGAACGUGACUGGACUGAACUGGAACCGGGACAGGAACGUGACUGGACUGAACUGGAACCUGGACAGGAACGUGACUGGACUGAACUGGAACCUGGACAGGAACGUGACUCGACUGUGCUGGAACCUGGACAGGAACGUGACUCGACUGUGCUGGAACCUGGACAGGCCUCGACUGUGCUGGAACCUGGACAGGCCUCGACUGUGCUGGAACCUGGACAGGCCUCGACUGUACUGGGGCCGGGACAGGCCUCGACUGAACUGGGGCCGGGACAGGCCUCGACUGAACUGGGGCCGGGACAGGACUCGACUGAACUGGGGCCGGAACAGGACUCGACUGAACUGGGGCCGGAACAGGACUCGACUGAACUGGGGCCGGAACAGGACUCGACUGAACUGGGGCCGGAACAGGACUCGACUGAACUGGGGCCGGAACAGGACUCGACUGAACUGGGGCCGGAACAGGACUCGACUGAACUGGGGCCGGAACAGGACUCGACUGAACUGGGGCCGGAACAGGACUCGACUGAACUGGGGCCGGAACAGGACUCGACUGAACUGGGGCCGGAACAGGACUCGACUGAACUGGGGCCGGAACAGGACUCGACUGAACUGGGGCCGGAACAGGACUCGACUGAACUGGGGCCGGAACAGGACUCGACUGAACUGGGGCCGGAACAGGACUCGACUGAACUGGGGCCGGAACAGGACUUGACUGAACUGGGGCCUGAACUGGGCUCGACUGGACUGGAGACUGGACUGGGCUCGACUGGACUGGGCUCGACUGGACUGGGCUCGACUGGACUGGGCUCGACUGGACUGGGCUCGACUGGACUGGGCUCGACUGGACUGGCGGCUGGCCUGGAGACUGAACAGCGCGCGGCUGGCCUGGAGACUGAACAGCGCGCGGCUGGCCUGGAGACUGAACAGCGCGCGGCUGGCCUGGAGACUGAACAGCGCGCGGCUGGCCUGGAGACUGAACAGCGCGCGGCUGGCCUGGAGACUGAACAGCGCGCGGCUGGCCUGGAGACUGAACAGCGCGCGGCUGGACUGGAGACUGAACAGCGCGCGGCUGGACUGGAGACUGAACAGCGCGCGGCUGGACUGGAGACUGAACAGCGCGCGGCUGGACUGGAGACUGAACAGCGCGCGGCUGGACUGGAGACUGAACAGCGCGCGGCUGGACUGGAGACUGAACAGCGCGCGGCUGGACUGGAGACUGAACAGAACGUGACUGGGCGGAGACCUGAGCAUGGCAAGGCUGAGCUGGAACCUGAACGAGGGGCGACUGAACUACGACUGGAGUCUGAACAGGACAUGGCUGCACUAGGGCUGGAGACUGAGCGUGGCUUGACUGACCUGACUGAGAGGUGGGACAUGAAGCGGCUGCUGGCUGCAGGCCCGGGAGUUGCAGGACCUCUCGCAGGACAGGUUCCCUCAGGACGAGAGCGGCUGCUUCCUCGAACAGUUGUUCUCUCGUGCCCUGGUCUGCUGCCGAAUCGGCGGUGUUCAUGAGGUGGGCGAAGAGAAACGCAACUGGAGGAGAGCAGAGGAGGUGGACCCGUCGGGCGACGCUGUCUGAGAUGCCUGCUAUCAGAGGGACACAGUCAGUCGGAGAAUCGAGGGGAUCCCCCGCGGGAGGGGAGAGCUGCUCGGGCACUGCGACCGAGGUCUCUGGGCCCUGAACCUCAGACCCGUGCCCUCGCCGACGUCGUCUGGGGCGCCUGCGGCUGACCGUCGCCUGAGGCGCUGGGAGCGGCAGGGGCUGGGUCUCUGUAGUGGGGUCCGUGUGGUGAACCAAACCGACGGCGUCUGGAGCUUGGGUUGUAGCCGCAGGCGCGGCGACAGGAACGGGAACCGCCGGAGCGGCGACAGGAACGGGAACCGCCGGAGCGGCGACAGGAACGGAAACCGCCGGAGCGGCGUCAGGAACGGGAACCGUCGGAGCGGCGACAGAGGCGCGGCCAGGCGAUACGCGCAGAGCGCGUGUCAAGUCCCUCCGCGUUAGUCGGAGCCCCUCGAAAUACGCUUGCACCCCGGGGUACUCACGCCACCAGUAUUCGUCCUCCAGUAUCUCGAUGGCUAGUUCUACCACGGAGAGCCGAACCUGGGGGCUGGGUGCUUCCGCAUAUUUCCUGGCUAAGCCCUGGAGAUCGCCACGGAUGUCCUCCGGUAGACUUAGGAAAACGAAAUCCAUUGCUCCGGUGAGCGACUUGUACACGGAGCCAAACAGAGAGGGGGAAAAAAAAGAAGAGACGGCGGCGGCUGACCGGGGUGAAGGCUGGGCGCUGGCUGGGUCCAAGUCUGGCCAGAUCGUUCUGUCACGGAUCGGCAGGGAGAGGACUCAAAUGCACAGCGCCAGGACACGACGUAGCCGGUGAAAAAAUGAGGGUUUAUUCCCAAAAUCAAAGUCACAAAACAGGUAGUGGACAAUAACAGAACGAUGACUUACAGGGUCGGUAAGAUGCUGCAGGAACGUGAGAGUCGGAAAUCAGAAAACAACGAUCUGGCAGAGAACCAAUGUGACAGGUGGUGGUUAAAUACACGGAAAAGAUCACUGAUACAAAACAGGUGAGUGUAAUGAGGACCGGGAGUGAAGCGGGAACGGCUGUGGUGUGAUGGGAAACGGAAGUGUUUACAAAAUAAAACCGAAAACUGGGAUCA